rnacentral:rRNA from 1 species
GAUGAACGCUGGCGGCGUGCCUAAUACAUGCAAGUCGAGCGAACAGACGAGGAGCUUGCUCCUCUAACGUUAGCGGCGGACGGGUGAGUAACACGUGGAUAACCUACCUAUAAGACUGGGAUAACUUCGGGAAACCGGAGCUAAUACCGGAUAAUAUAUUGAACCGCAUGGUUCAAUAGUGAAAGACGGUUUUGCUGUCACUUAUAGAUUGAUCCGCGCCGCAUUAGCUAGUUGGUAAGGUAACAGCUUACCAAGGCAACGAUGCGUAGCCGACCUGAGAGGGUGAUCGGCCACACUGGAACUGAGACACGGUCCAGACUCCUACGGGAGGCAGCAGUAGGGAAUCUUCCGCAAUGGGCGAAAGCCUGACGGAGCAACGCCGCGUGAGUGAUGAAGGUCUUCGGAUCGUAAAACUCUGUUAUUAGGGAAGAACAAAUGUGUAAGUAACUAUGCACGUCUUGACGGUACCUAAUCAGAAAGCCACGGCUAACUACGUG